CCCUUAGAUGUUCUGGGCCGCACGCGCGCUACACUGAUGCAUUCAACGAGCCUAUCCUUGACCGACAGGUCCGGGUAAUCUUUGAAUCUGCAUCGUGACGGGGAUAGAUUAUUGCAAUUAUUAAUCUUCAACGAGGAAUGCCUAGUAGGCGCAAGUCAUCAGCUUGCGUCGAUUACGUCCCUGCCCUUUGUACACACCGCCCGUCGCUCCUACCGAUUGGGUGUGCUGGUGAAAUGUUCGGAUCGGCCGUUUGUCGCGGUUUCCGCGGCUCGUGGCUUGGAAGUUCAUUAAACCCUCCCACCUAGAGGAAGGAGAAGUCGUAACA
rnacentral:rRNA from 1 species